CCUGUUUAGGUAACAAAAAUCCCACACAUUACCUGUCAAUAAUGCAGCUAUUAAAAAGAAGAGGUUAGAAGUAAUUUUCAAUGGUUUGGCAAUGGCACUAGAAGCAGAAUUUUGAAAUAGUAUCCUCUAAGGCAAUGGUUCUCAACCUGUGGGCUUCCAGAUGUUUGGGCCUUCAACUUCCAGAAAUCCUAACAGUUGGUAAACUGGCUGGGAUUUUUGGGAGUUGUAGGGCAAACACAAUGCUUUAAGGGCAUUGUGUUGUCAUAAUAAGGUGGUUGAAAAAAAAUGCUGAUUCCCUUGGUAUCACUUUGCAAGCUGCUUUACCUGUGUUUAUUUUUUUAAAUAUUCCCAGAUUUAAGCAAGCUGUUUGCAGGAUUGCAACCUAAAUGACCAAAGAUGUCUUGGAUCUUUAACUUAUACAGUUGAAAAUGCUUUCAUGGUCACUGCACAAAUAUGAAAAUGCCCACCUGCUGUCCUCCGUAGCAUGUACAGGAGCAUAUGGCCCCGAGGUAUUCCUUCUGCCACUGUUCUCCAACAUGGUACAUCUUGCCCUCAUCGUAGCAAGUUGCUUCAUCUUCAAGGAAAAAAAGAAGAAAACAUGCAAUGCCUGUUAACUGAUGUAUACUUCAUCACAGUAGGGGUAAUAUAGUCUCAGUAUUCCUCAGAACACUGCCUAACAACUCCUGAAAGUUCCUAAGCUGAUCUAGUUGUCUCUACUGUGGUCAAGAUGUUGUUGAUGUCUCCUCUAAGCUGCUAGCCUGUAGGGAGAACAUGGGAGAAGUAGGGAGAACAUGAAAAGAAAACCCGCAAAAGAUGAAGAACCUGUCACUAUCAAGAUGUUGGCCAAGAGUCACAGACAGUGGAAGUUCAACAACAUCUGGAUGAUCCUGGCUUCCAACAUAAGCUUCAACACCAUGAGGUGUUUUUCUGUAUGAUAAGGACAGAAGUGCAGCAAGGAAGAAUGUAAAUGGGGUGGAUCAUCUAGAUCAGGCAUGGGCAAACUAAGGCCCAGGGGCUGGAUGCGGCCCCCAGGGCGCUUACCUCAGGCCCUCCUCAUUUAACUUGUCUUUUUGGCAUAAGGAUACGGAGGCCCGCAGCAGCUGAGAACUCUCUAGAGCGCUCUCAGCCACCACGCGUCUCACCCUCCUCCCAGCAUAA